rnacentral:lncRNA from 1 species
ACACCAAACAUUUGAUAGAAGAUUAUUAAUAUGAGUGGUAGUAGGACAGAAAGACUGUCACAUAUUUUUGAGGGAUUUUAGAAAAUAUAAUUUUAAAGGGGGCAGCAGUUCAAUACUACUUUAAAAAUAAUACUCCCUGGCCGGGUGUGGUGGCUCAUGACUGUAAUCCCAGCACUUUGGGAGGCCGAGACGAGCGGAUCAUGAGGUCAGGAAAUCAAGACCAUCCUGGCUAACACGACAAAUUAUACCUAUUUUUCUCAAUAACACAUGGCUACAGUGAAAGACUUCCAUUUAUUGAUCACUUUUUGGCCUUUGGCUGAGAUCAAGAGCACUACCUGAAGAUGAAAGAUGAAAGGAGCUGAUUUGCAGAUUCUCUCCCUAUACAUUUUUGUUGUAUUGAAUUUCAGUUUCAUUUUAUUCUCUUAUCUUUCAUGGAAUGUUACAAUUACCUAAAUUAUAGACUAAUAUAGAAGCUUUUGAGCAAAAGGGUGUAUGUGCUGUGAAGGUCAACAUUUUAAACGAUCCUAAAACAUAAUUGUUUUAGAACGGGCACUUGUCUGGGUCCCACUGAAUGACUCAUUUCACGGCAUCACAUUCAAAAUGGAUUCUAUCAAAGGAAAACCAACUCAUUCUCAAGAUGAAAUUCAUCCUUUGCAUAUUAUGUAUCAAUGAUAUCACUCUUCCAGUGCCAGUUGUGGAAAAAUAGGUUUCAACAUAGAGUGGCUUGUACUGUGUAUUUAAUAAAGCUUUCAGAAUGUGUUUCUUUUAUAAUUUCAAAAAAAAAAAAAAAA